UCUUUUUAAGCUAAAAUCUUUUUUCUUUCUUUCUCUUAAAGAGAGUUUAAAGUAAAGGGGGUUGAGGGCAAAUUUCUUCUAUUUUGGAUUUAAAAAGAGACCACUAAAAAGGAAUAUCCGAGAAGGAGUUGAAAAAUUACAAAGUCUAGGAAGUUCACUUCAGAGAAAAACGAUAAGAAAACCGUUAAAGAUUUCUAGUUAGAAAUUUUUAGAGCAAAAACAAAAUAUCUAAAUUGAUUUAAGCCAAAUGUAGUUCAAUAGACACAGUAUAUAUACUAAGGAGAAAAGGGAGAACUAAUUUAGGUGUUGGUUUCCAUAUUCUGUUCGAAUUUUCCGGAUCGCUGCUCGAGUCAGAGUUUCUUUGGUAGUCGUGGAAGUUCUUCUAGCUCGUCAUUGUCCCACUUCGCUUCACCAAGAGGAGGUUUGAUCUCUGAAUAUCUAAGUUGGAAUAAACCUUGAUAGGAGGAGGCAUUUUGGGUUCCACAAAAUCGUUCCCUUUGUGAUUAUUCUUCUCGUUUUGUCCAUUUCCUAUAGCCUGCACAAACUGCGUAUCCUUCUCAUGCUCAUUUUGAUUAACUAGAACAUUACAAGGAACAUUAGUAUGAUCAUUAUGAGUUAUCAUGCUAGGGACUGACUUACUUGUAGUGUUAUUGUUGGCCUAUGGUGUACAAUCCUUAGCAUAGUCUUGUCUACUUUGAUUUUCCAAUUUAUUUUAUGGUUUAUGAUAGUUUGAUUUUUUUCUCUUCA